AGUGAACGCUGGCGGUAGGCCUAACACAUGCCAGUCGAACGGCAGCACAGUAAGAGCUUGCUCUUACGGGUGGCGAGUGGCGGACGGGUGAGGAAUACAUCGGAAUCUACUUUUUCGUGGGGGAUAACGUAGGGAAACUUACGCUAAUACCGCAUACGACCUACGGGUGAAAGCAGGGGAUCUUCGGACCUUGCGCGAUUGAAUGAGCCGAUGUCGGAUUAGCUAGUUGGCGGGGUAAAGGCCCACCAAGGCGACGAUCCGUAGCUGGUCUGAGAGGAUGAUCAGCCACACUGGAACUGAGCCACGGUCCAGACUCCUACGGGAGGCAGCAGUGGGGAAUAUUGGACAAUGGGCGCAAGCCUGAUCCAGCCAUACCGCGUGGGUGAAGAAGGCCUUCGGGUUGUAAAGCCCUUUUGUUGGGAAAGAAAAGCAGCAGGUUAAUCCCCCGCUGUUCUGACGGUACCCAAAGAAUAAGCACCGGCUAACUUCGUG
rnacentral:rRNA from 1 species